GACACCAACAAGAGAACAUGUGUUAGAGAUGCAAGCAAUUAGUUCAUAUAUUACAACUUUCAACCUCUGAGCAAAACAGGCAACAAAAAUUUCCUCUUGACAAAAAGCUACACAGAUAAGAUCAGCUUCAUUCCCACACAAUGCCAUGGCCCUGCCUUGGAGCAGCCCCGAAGGAGUCUGGGAGGGAGGGAGGGAGGGUCAGGGACUCAGGGGUCUGCAGGGUGUGCGCCCCAGGGGUAGGUGGCUGCUGGGCUCCGGAGUGGAGGAGAAGUGGAGUCUGAAAUGAAAGAAGUGCCCCUUGGAACCGGGUCACGAAGCUGGCUGCCUGCUCCUUGCUGGGGCUUUCUAAUGAAACUGAAGGGAAAAUGAAUUCUCAUUGCUGUUUUCAAAGGAGAGAAGGUGCCUGCAAAAGGAAAUGGGCUCAGAGAAGACAGGGAGCUUGCCAAGGUUACACAGCCACCAGGAAGCGACAGGGUCUGGCCUUGGACCCGGAGCCUACACAUUCUAACCGCCGCUCAGCAUUGUUCCUCUGUCAUAGUCUGCAAGCUGGAGAAGAUGCCGCCUCGGCUCCCCGGGCACACAGCGGCAGAAGCAAACAGAGAAGUGCUGAGCAGACUGCCCCUCAGGUCCCCCGGGGAGAUGGGCACCCAGGAGCCCACGGCUCUUCACCAGGGCUCGAAGCUGACGUCCGCACACGCGUCCCCGGGAACCUGUGUGGCUUGUUUUCUCCCACUGCUGGGGACAGAGUUUGCCUGGGGCAGGGAUGGAGGGCGAGGAAGGAGCCUUUGUCUCUCCCGUAAUCUCUCUCUCAGAACUAAAA